UUUGCUUUCAGUCCCAGCGGGGAAAGCACGCAGGUCAAGUGUCUGCACAAAUGAGCCAACAGCGCCGCUGAACAGCCUCCGUUGAGCCCACCUUUGUCUGAAACUCCUGAGUGCAUGCUAAUGAGAACCGUUUCCAGCUUGGGUUUGUAAGCGCCUGCAAACGAGGGCCCGGCUGUCAUCCCCAGUCAGAGGUCCCAAGGAGGCUCAGCGUUGCCCUGAACGGGCACUUUGCAGCAACCAGAGAGGAAAAAAUGUUUGUCCCUGCUCUGAAGGGUGUUGCUGUGAUGGCACGUGCUCUUCACUUCACUGUGCGUUCCACUAAACCGAUACGUCUCCUGCGAUAAGUGAAGGCGUCCUCCUCCGUGGAAUCUCUUGACGGGAACCGCAAGUUUACCAGAAAGACGAAGUGUGGCGGGACCCAGGAGAAAGAGCAGGUUGCGUAAGCAUUUCGUAAGUUGUCCUGGGUAAGGUAAGCCCCUGAUUUUUCUCACUACGAGAACCCAAGGUGUUCCAAUCCACCUAGCUUCACCAGCUCUGCUUUUCCGUCUACAUAAUUCCGUCAGCCCCCGUUAUCUUCAUUCCAUGGGCAGCUUCGAGAACGAGUCUCAGUGGUCCUCUUAUCUGCUCAUUUACAGUCAUCUUGUUGGGGUCACAGAUAAGUACCCAACUCAUUAGGCGCUGACCCCUACUGGAGUAAUCACCAUAAACCACCUCCCAGUUCAAUUGAUGUGUAAACUAUUUAAGGACAAGAUGAAAUGGACAGGAAAGAUUUUCUGGUUUAGUUUAAUUGCUUCUCAGGUGGCCUCUCAUUUACCAAGCUCCGCUACAAGUAUGAACCAGAACUACCCUAGUGAAACUAAUAUAAAAGACCCAAGUACUUGGGGAAUACAGCUUGAUUCAACACGGCCCAGGGAACCUGCCUUUGCCAGAUUGAAAGAACGACUUUUUCAGCCUCCUUGGUUAUGCCGGUGGUGGUCCUUCUCUCCUCUGCGCGGGCAUGACACAAAAUUGCACUCUCUUUGCAUUUGAUGAGCGGAUUUUGCUGCCCACAAACCCCUUGAUCUUUCAACUAUAUAUAUAACACAAAAACAGAUGGUGAUGUUAAGCACGAGUCAGGUUGCCUCUGCUGGGAUGUCUUCGCUGGGAUGCAGUUGAGGCAUCGAGGAAAAAAUGACCUAAAAAUAUUGCCACGAGCAGGAAACAAGAUUGGCGGAACUCUGAUGGUUGCUGAUGCAACAUGGUGCUUCCGUGAAUGGUUGCCUCUGCCUUUGUGUGUGUGUGUGUGUGUGUGUGUGUGUGUGAAG